AUUGAACGCUGGCGGAAUGCUUUACACAUGCAAGUCGAACGGCAGCACGGACUUCGGUCUGGUGGCGAGUGGCGAACGGGUGAGUAAUGUAUCGGAACGUGCCCAGUCGUGGGGGAUAACGUAGUGAAAAUUACGCUAAUACCGCAUACGAUCUAGGGAUGAAAGCGGGGGACCGUACGGACUCGCGCGCUUGGAGCGGCCGAUAUCAGAUGAGGUAGUUGGUGGGUAAAGGCUCACCAAGCCGACGAUCUGUAGCUGGUCUGAGAGGACGACCAGCCACACUGGAACUGAGACACGGUCCAGACUCCCACGGGAGGCAGCAGUGGGGAAUUUUGGACAAUGGGCGCAAGCCUGAUCCAGCCAUUCCGCGUGCAGGAUGAAGGCCCUCGGGUUGUAAACUGCUUUUGUACGGAACGAAAAGGCUCUGGUUAAUACCUGGGGCUCAUGACGGUACCGUAAGAAUAAGCACCGGCUAACUACGUGCCAGCCGCCGCAGUAA
rnacentral:rRNA from 1 species